rnacentral:lncRNA from 1 species
GAUAAUGCCACGAGUGGCGCUGAGCCUGAGAUACUGCAAGAUGGGCAAGGUCAAGCUGUUGACGUUGGUCAUACGGCCGAGGUUAGGCUUGUACACGUCAGCGCGGGCAGGGUCAUCAAUGUUCUCGUGGGUCCUCAUGCUGCAGAUAGUCUCCUCAAGACCGUUGUCUUGUGGGCCACGUGGGUGUCUCCACUUCUCGCUCUCGUAGGCCUGUCUCAAAGGUGGCCUCACGACCUGGAAAGGUCCCUUAACAGAAACGAUGUUUCCUCUGUUGUCUCUUCGGUUCUGAAGCUCCUCAGCCAACCUAACGUCGAUUUUCAAAGCCUGAGCUAUGACCUGAGGGUCGAAUCCGCUGAACAUGUUUUUCUCUUCUUCUCCUUGUUGUUGUCCUUGCUGUCGACCACCAAAACCGCCCUGUUGGCCCUGUUGGUUGUUUCCAGCCAAACGGAAUGCCUAUAGCACAGAAUUAACAAAUGAAAAACGUGUGUAGUAAGUAUACUGGAUAUGGUUUAUAUUCUUAAAGUGAAGAAAAGUGUGUCUUUGAAUAUAUGUAUGAUUACUCUUGGGUUGCGGUCGAGUUGGUUUUGGUAGUUGGCAACGUCGAUAAGGGAGAUGAUGACAAGUGGCUGGUCUCCAGAGUUGUAGAUCCAAUGGGCAGAGCCUGGAGUGAUGGCAACAAUGUCUCCACGUCGAACAUGUUCCACCUUCUGGUGCAUGUCACGGAACCCUUGUUGUCCUUGCUGUCCCUGCCUUUCAUAUGGCUGUUCUUGCUGUCCUUCCUCUCCCUGUCCUUCCCAUGGUCGUCCUUGCUGUCCUUGCUGUCCCUGUCGUCCCUGUCUUUCCCAUGGCUGUUCUUGCUGUCCCUGUUGCUGUCCUUGCAUCGGCUGUGAAUCCAUGAAGGUCUCGGCACAUCCAGGGACGACUCUUCCACUAAUACCCAUUCCUAUAAAUAUAAUAGAUAAGAGAGAAAGGGAGAUAUAUGUCAUGGUGUCAAUCGAUAAAUAUUAUCGAUUGUAUCUUCAUUAGAACGUGAUCUAUAUAUAUAGAUACUUGAUAAAGAAAGGCUGUUAUGUGUGUUAAGAUAGAUACUAACCUUGAACAACGUAGGAAAUUUUUGGGGAAGUGAAGAAGGUAGGUAAGUAGAGACCGCCUUGUUCGAUUACAAGACGAGAGAUGGAGACACCAGCACAUCGGAGCUGGCGAUUUGUGUGAUCCCAGUACUCCAUACGACCUGCCUCGCUGUUGAUAGUCUCGGUGGGUUCAAGAACGUCCAAGUUAUCGAGGUUACACUCGUUCUGUAGCUGAGGAGGAACCCCAAGCGACUGCCUUGCGAGACAGCCAUUAAGGACGAGGAGAACCCCGAACGUUGCAACGAGGAGAUUAGCUAGCUUAGCCAUUUUUCUUCCUUUUUUUUUUGUUGUUGUUGUGAGAGAUGGAUGAAGAGAAACGAGACUCAGUAGGAGUUUAUAUAUUAUGGACCGAACAUGAAGCUUGUGCCACGUAGAAUUGAGUUUGCAUGAAGACGUGGGUCUAUGGGUUUUACACGUCCCUCUAUGAGCUCGAGCAAGUGUCUCCAUGGUUGAUUUUAGAUGUCCACGCGCGUAGCUCUGUCUCCUCAUAUGCCAAAAACGACAAAACCAAAUGUAUCUACCUCAUUCUUUAGAAACAUGUCAUCCAUCUAUGUACUUAAUUUGUGUAAAAUAGAUAGAUAGAUAGAGAAACUGUGCUAUACUUAAAACUUUUAUCGUCGUCUUAAAUUAUUGAAGUUUAAUUGAUUCGAAACGGGAGAAGAGAAUCUACUUUUUAGACAAUUAACACAUCAAAUCACAUCACUAGUGUCCAGUAAUUAUUUGGCGUUGUGAUCAAAGAAUUCACCAGAUACAGCCAAAAUCUAGUAUUUAUAAGAGUUAGUGCAGGUAUAACUUUGCCUAUUAGUUUACACUUCAAAAAAAAACAGAAAGAAGGUGACACCUGAUAGACGCGGCGACACUAGGCGGGAUUGAUCCGUUUUAGCUGCUGCGACUUGUCUUGACAACUGUUCGGUUGCAUGUUUAGCCGCGAUGACAUGUGUUCUUCCUACCAGAGUUUUAGCGGAGCUCUAUACCAUUUAAUUUUCAUGUUUUUUCUUCGUUGGGCUUUUAAUGCUUGGGUUCAUGGGCUUGAGCUAUACGUGAGCCCAAAGUUCUUUUUUCAAACGAAAAUUCCAGACCGUCUUAUUCUUCAAUAGAAACCAGAGCUUAAACCCUAAACCCCUUUCUCAAGAUCUUCCACUCCUCUCUCCGCGACACUAGCAGAGUUUUCGGGUACGCUUCGCGCCACUUUUCUUAGGUCUUUUGUGUAUUGGGUCGGUAUCGAUCAAUUUCUAUCGAAAUUUCGAAAGAACAAGUAAAAUACGUAGCUGUGUGAGGGGUUUUCUGCUCGAAAUUUGCCAGCUAAUCGUUGCUAUUGUCCCAAAAAUGCGAGUUUUAGUGUUUCAAUAGAAGUGUUCUGGGAAGCCUAGGAUGGGUCUUCCUUAAAUUUGCUAUCUUUUAUGACUUUGUUUGCUGAAUUUUGACUUGAUUUUGAUACUUGACAUUUUUCGAGUCUUUCAUUUGGAUAAAGUGACUAGAUCUGAUUCUGAAUUUUGAGGUCUUGUUUGUCUAUCCUGUUCCGGAAUUUUCGAUAGUUGAACUUUUUUUGGGAUUGUUUCAGAAAAAAAAAAAGAUGAAUUUCAACAACGUCAAGGUUCCAAAGGUGCCAGGUGGUGGUGCCAUAUCUGCGUUGCUUAAGAUUGGGAUUAUCGGUGGGCUCGGUGUCUACGGUGCCACACACAGUCUCUACAAUGUCGACGGAGGACAUCGAGCCAUCAUGUUCAACCGUUUAGUCGGUAUUAAAGAUAAGGUUAGUCAGUGUUUCUUCGAGCUUAGUCUCUUUUGAGUUUCUAGUAGAAGCAAAUUUCUCCCUUUAAAAACUGAAUGUUCCCAACGAGAUCUCAUGCGGUUUUUGACAUCUUGGUCAAGUUAUCCUGGUUGAUUUCUCAAGUCUAAUCAUCGUUUGUGAAAUCUUGUUAUUUUGUUUAUCAAUCACCGAGGCUGAUUUUUCGUCCAUCUUUGGUUAUCGGUUCUGAUUUCUCGUUGUUGUUCCUGUAGAGCUUAAAAAUAGUCUUCUUAAUUCACAAGUAUAUAGUUGGUAAUCUUGUAAAUACGCAGGUUUACCCCGAGGGUACACACCUUAUGGUUCCUUGGUUCGAAAGGCCGGUCAUUUAUGACGUUCGUGCACGACCUUACCUUGUUGAGAGUACCUCCGGAAGCCGUGAUCUUCAGAUGGUACUCUGUUUGAAAUCCUCCCUUUUGAGUGCCACUGUGGUGUAAUGUCGAGAAACAACUUCAUAAGCUCUAUGUGUUUCGUGGUUUUUGGAAACUUUCAGGUGAAGAUUGGGCUUAGGGUUCUCACUCGUCCCAUGGCAGACCAGUUACCUGAGAUCUAUAGAACCCUUGGUGAGAACUACAGCGAGAGAGUUCUGCCUUCUAUAAUCCACGAGACUUUGAAAGCUGUGGUUGCUCAGUACAAUGCAAGCCAGCUUAUUACUCAGAGAGAGGUACAAUAUAAGCGGCUUGUUAAUAUAUGUGCAUAUCUUUUUCCGCCUUCUUAGUGAGUCAAGUUAAUGAAUAUGUUUUUCUGGCUACCCUCAGGCGGUGAGUAGGGAGAUCAGGAAGAUUCUAACUGCACGAGCAACAAACUUCAACCUUGCGCUUGACGAUGUGUCCAUCACGACCCUGACAUUUGGGAAGGAGUUCACGGCUGCCAUUGAAGCAAAGCAGGUGGCUGCUCAAGAGGCUGAGCGGGCUAAGUUCAUCGUUGAGAAGGCCGAACAAGACAAGAGAAGUGCUGUUAUCCGUGCCCAGGUAAAUAGACAUUGUCUACAUUUUUCCAAUUUCCUAAGUUCUGAGACUGAUAUAGUUGUGUGACCAACGUUAUCUUGCCUUGUGUAGGGAGAAGCCAAGAGUGCUCAGCUCAUAGGUCAAGCGAUCGCAAACAACCAAGCGUUUAUAACCCUCAGGAAGAUUGAGGCGGCAAGAGAGAUUGCACAGACCAUAGCACACUCGGCUAACAAGGUGUACCUAAGCUCGGACGAUCUUUUGCUUAAUCUACAGGAGAUGAAUUUGGAUGUGAAUGCAAAGAAUUAGAGAGGCUUCUUAAGUAAAACCCCCUGUGGUUUGUAUCGUCUUUUCAAUUUGGAGCAAAAGCUGAGAUCUUUGGAUUUUUAAAUACUUGUUAAGUUGUUUUUGGGAUCUCAUUAUCCCAAGGUUAUAGCCUUUGUCUAUCAGGAAAUGAAGACACUGUCUUGCUGAAUGAGUUAAUUGUAAUAAACUUGUCGUUUUGAAAAUAUUCGUGAAAAGCAAAUGUAUCCAGAGUUGCAUUUGGGAUUAAAUGGCCAUAUUGAGCAAAUGCAUUAUCGUGCUACAUAUAAUCCACCACAGAUCUUUGCCGAUAAGAAAUCUAAAUGACUUAACGUACCAAGAGACAAAGGGAGAUCUUUGUACAUUCUUUUCAUGAUCAGUCCAAGGAAUUAAAAUUGUACAAAGCAGUAUAAUCAAAAAAGGGAAAAAAAUGGACCAAAAAAUGUUACGUAUAUAAGAUUACACUGUAAAUUUAAAUUAUUUUCAAUGUAUAUAUGUAUUAAUGUAAUAUAUAAUGCUUAGAUUAUAUACCAUUUCUCUUAUUUGACGACCGUCCAUGCAUGUAAAAAACUAUUCUCAAUUUUCAAGGGAUAAAAGGUUGAGAGCCAUGAACCAAAUGGUUCUGUAUCCCGGUCUGGUUAAACGAGAUAAUCGCCGGAAUAUUGUUAUAAUACUCACCGGAUCCUUCACCACCAUUGCUCUUAAACUUACCGUUAUUAUGAUGAAGAUGGUAAUGAAGGUGGCGACCACCACCACCACCAAGGUGAUGGCCAUGGAGAUAAGGCCGCUCCUUUGCAGUGGCUGCGGCAGCAACCGAGCCACCGCAUUGGCGUGGUUGAGUCUGGUAGAAGACUUUGGAGACGACGAGCUCGCCUUCUUUCUCUUCCUCGUUGGUGCCAAGAUGAUAUUGAUGCAUUACCCAAUUAGUCUUCUCGGGUUUCUUUUGUUUGCCGUAGUUUGUGUAGAGCACUAGGAUUUUCUUGUAGCCUCUCACUCUUCCUCCGGCGAGAACUGGCCGUGUUUUGCCGGUCUUGUGCCACCGUGUUUCGCCAGCGACUUCGGAAUCGGUGUGGACUUUACGUCGCUUUCUUGUUCCCGUUGUGUAUGCCUUUGACGGUCGGUGGAAGAAAUGACGGAGCGUCCCGUCCUUGGUCACUCCUAUAUGUAUGUCAUGUGAACACUAUUUAAAUAUGUAUGUAAUAAGCUAACAUUUAUCGAAAUUAAUUUAAUUAGGUAUGACACUCCAUAAUAAAGAAAUUGGAUCAGCUAUAUACCCUAUUUCUAAUUUACAAUGCAAUUGUUUUUUUCACUUAAUUUUUUGAGUUUCAAUAAUCUUUACUAGCUAUGUAAAGAAAUUAUAGAAAAUAGUGUAUCUAAUAAUUAGAAUAAACGGAUGGUAUACAAACUAUAUGAAAUUUCACUUCAUCUAAAAAUUUUAACAUCUUAAUACGAUAACUGUACAUUAUAUCUCUCAUCAACUCUAAAACUUUCAUAUUAUUCAUAUAUCUACUAUUUGUUCUUUUUUUCAGGUCGGAUAGUUUAGACUUUAGAUCAUAUGAAGACGACAAACAUUAUAUUUUCUAUUAAGAAAACAAGAUAAUUGUUGAUAGGAUUGAAAUAAAUAGGGGAAAACAAUAUAGACUCACCUGGCAGUUUCUCAGGAUGGGUAUAACAGAUGCCAUUUUCACCAUCGAUGGUACGAAUAAACUCAUCGAUGAGAGGAUGAAGCUUUCUUGCGUCGUCUCUUACCUUCCCUUCAAGAUGCUCCAGAACCUCUUGAUCCGUCGGAUCAAACUUCACCCCGGCAGGCAAUCCCGGCAAGUCAUGGAUACCCGCCUGCAUACACAUCGGGUUUAUUCAUUUUGAUGAUCUAAAACUUUCUAAAUAUACAAACUUGAUGUAGGUAUAGAGAGAAACAAGAACCUGUUCAUGAAACUUGAAGUUAUGGCCACAAGAAGGACAAGUUUUGUGACAUGAGACCGGAAAUGAGGCUGCAGGAGAAUCAGCCGCUGCCGGUGAGGGAAUGAUUCUUUCAACGGUCUGAACAUCGCUACGGUCAUUGCACCAAGUCAUGUUGUUUUGUGUCUCUUAGUUUCGUUUUGUGCAUAUUAUCUUCUCUUCUCUUCUCUUCGUCCACACUGCUCACGACUUCAUUAGAAUAAACAAAGGCAUGAGAGAGAACAAAGAGAGAAGGGAAAAAGGGUGAAAGAUGACUAAAGCAUAUGUUUCCUAAGAAGAACUCUUUGAGGUUAUCUUGAGAAGGAGGAAGGAAUUGAAUUCUUGUUCGUCACUUUUUAAGUUGAGUUAAUUGCUCCUUUUUGCACUUGAUUUAAACUUUGUACUAUCCAUGAGAGAGAAAGAUGAGAUAAGCUUAUAAGAAAUUUUAUUAAACCUCAUUUUAUAAUGUAUACAAAAUGUAAUGUAUACUAUAUAGUAAGAAAGCAUUAUUUAAAGACUUAGGUUUUUUAAUAAGUAUGUAGAAACAAUGAAACAUACAAAAAAAAAAAAGAACAAUGAAACAUACAUGCUAAGUAACAAUGAGAGGACUGGUACACCUACAACUUGAAAGUAAUUAAAGAGUAUAGACAUUUAAUUACGAAACUUUCAAAUCUUUAAUUUUACAUAUAUGUAACAUUGAUAAAAUACUGGAUUUUAUUUGUUUUUUAAAGUAUAUAUGCAAAUACAGAUACAUACUUAUAUAGAGUAAAAACAUGGAUUUGAAUAAACUUAAUUUUUUGUUUAAACACAUUAUGAUAUUCUGAAGAAUAUAUUAACUAACCGAUUAUCAUAAGACCAAAAAAAUGGAUUGCUUGGGUUUAAAGUUUGAUUUGGCUUCUACAUGGCAUGUAUGGUGUGUGAGAGAGAUAUAGACAGAGACUGAUCGAACAAAAAAAAAAAAGAAUAUGUGAACAAUAUAUUGUGAAAGAAUAUACAUGUGUGAGCUUCCUUUUUCGACAAGAACAUUCUUAAUAUGGUACAAAAUAGGUUUUAUCUGGUCGAAUCUAUAUAUAAUAUAAAUUAAACAUUUAUAAAAUCUGCUAUUGAUUUGUUAAUUUACUGAUACAUUACAUGUAUAGGAUCUAAAAGUGAAUAUGAGAUGGAGUGUGUUUGCGGCAAGGUGUUGCUGCUGGUCUGUGAGAGAUCAGACGUGAUAUGGUAGAAAACUAGAAACAAAAAUAAGAAAGAGAAGUUAAGGUCCAGCGUCACCCUAGAGUGUAUGUAAAGAUAUUAUUACAUAAUCUUAUACUUAUAACUUACACAUCUGAAUAUCCAUUUUUACCCCUGACGUCUCAAUAGUAUACUACUAUAGAAAACAUUUGAGUAAACUUUUGAAUAUACAUAUUGUUUUUUGAUGAAUAUUGUCCGUAUCAGUUUUUCUUUAGAUUUAACUUUUUUGCAAAUUCUAAGGAAUAUAUACAUUCAUGCAUAUAUUAUGACUGUUUGAAGUUAAUUCGAAAAUGUAUCAAUAUAAAUUUCAAAAUUACCAUGUGAGAAUUACAAAAGAACAAGAAAGAAAUCGUUAAGAACAUAAUUUUUAAGUGCCAUGUGACAAAGACCUAAUAUUAUUUUUUCAAUAAACUAAAUUUCACUCUGCAGCAAAUUUGUCAGUGCAAUAGCGAAAAUACUGGUAUAUAUAAUAUCAAAAAAGAAUAAAUAAAAGUAGGAAGCUAUUUUUAAUAGAUAAAAAAAAAAGAAAAAGAAAGUUAAAAAGUCAGUCAUUAUUCUAUUUCUUCACGUAGACUUCUCAUGCAUAACAAGUAACCUCAACCUUUAUUCUUUAUCUGUCGUCUGAUUUCUUUCCUCCUCUCCCCAGUCAAUUUUGAAGACAUGUUAUACCUAUUAUUAUCAAGCUAAAACAAAAAUCAUGAACAAAUGUUACACUUAUAUGUGUCCAUUGGGAAAUUUUGUGGUUUGCUUGUUGUUUUCAUGGGUAUAAAUCGCGGCAAUGUGUUGUGUCAUUCAAGAAAUCCAAUCACAAGCCCUUUAACGAAAACAAAAAUAAAUCAAAUCACAUUACUGACAUCUCGUCUAUGUUUGGCUAUCUAGUAAAUAUAAAUCUAAUUUUAUAACUACAUAAUUCACAUCCAAAUUCCAACACAACGAUUUCAUAAACUGUGAAUUUACUGCUAUAUUACUUAAUACUGUAUAAGUUUUGGAAGUUUUGGAAUAAGACAUCAUAUAAUAAAAAAGGAUAUAUUAAUUUUGUGUUUUAACGUCCGGUAUGUGAGCUUGGAUAUCCAGAGAAGAUGUUGCCCUUCCGAAUGGCGUUACCAGUAAAAAUAAAAUAAAAAAAUAAUAAAAAAAUAAAAAAUUUGAAAUUUAAGAUAUUCUUCCCAAAAAAAAAAAAAAAAAAACUCGUUCCUCAGAAAGCAGAAUGCAAAUCCGUUUACAAAUUAAUGUGGUAAAACUGGUAACGGACCGAUUAUGACUAAACGAAGGUUGGCCAUUGAGUGGACAAACCACCAAAUGUUGCAAUCAUUGCGUUAAUUUAAAUAAUUGGUAUCCAAACUUCAUAACAUUAAUAGCUAUUACCUAAUCAGAAAGCUUCACAUUUCUGUUUCUGAUUUCUUACAAUUCACCUAACUUAACAACACCAAAUCGCUAUUCUCAGCCCAAACCAACCCAACCCGGCCCAUAUUAGAGUAUUCAAACGCUGCUCUAGUCUUCCGUGUAGUAGUAUGGCGUGAGUUUCCCACCGGUCAUAGUAGAUUUAGACGCGUUUGCACCGCUACAAGAAACAGCAGCAGAGACUUGUUGAAGCAUGAUCACAACUUUUCUCAUGGAAGGUCGGUUUAGAGGGAGAGGACUUGUACAGAGAAGAGCAAUGUGAAUAACUUUGCUAAUCUCUUCUUUGAACCCAAGAUCGAGUUUGGGAUCAAUCACAGGUUCCAGACCGCAUUGGUCAAGUGUAUUGCACACCCAUUUCGCCAUAUCUUUGUCUCCUAGUUCCUGAUCGGUUGGUUGCUUCCCUGUAACCAGUUCCAAAAGCACAACACCAAAACUGUAGAUAUCGCUCUUUUCAUUCACCCGAAGUGUGUACACGUAUUCUGCAAAAUAAAACUAUUAAUAAAUAUCUAAAAAAAACUCGGAAUAUCAAAUCAAAUGUUACAAAAACGCAGUUGAAGUUUCUCGUUUAACGUUUUGGUUACCUGGCGCAAUGUAACCGCAAGAACCGGCGAUCCCAGACAUAGCUUCUAGCGUUUUGACACCGCUCAUCUGACCAAUUUUGGCGAUCCCAAAGUCGGCUACUUUGGCACCAUAAUCUCUAUCUAGAAGAAUGUUACUCGACUUCACGUCACGGUGCACAAUCGGAGGUACACAAUCAUGGUGUAAAUAUGAUAAACCCUCCGCAGCGUCUAACGCGAUUUUUAACCGCUCAGGCCAACCCAACAAAACCGCGCCUUUGCGGCGACGGUGCAACGCAUCGGCUAAGCUCCCAUUAGGCAUGUACUCGUACACCAACAACUUACAAUCUCCGGAGCUGAAACAACACCACAAACGCACAAUACUCUUAUGCCUAAUCGUUCCAAGCGUUUCGACCUCCGCGGUGAAAACGUCUCUAUUCAACGAAUCGCUAUUUCCGUCUCCUCCUUUGGCCGUUUUGUUGAGUUUCUUCACGGCUACAACUUCUCCACCACUAAGCUCCGCUUUAUAGACUUUACUAGAGGAACCGAUUCCGAUUACGUUCCGUUCAACGAGACAACCAGCGAUUUCGUGCUCGCUGAAAUGAAGCUUGUGAAAGGAUCUCCAUUUGGAGGCGGCGAAUCUAGGGCUCUGCUUCUUCGAGGCUCUGAUCUUCAUGAACUUGGCGAUGAACAUAACGAUCCCGACGACGAAAACCAGACCGGCGAGUGUGAAUAUCGAUAGGAGAAUCCAGGCGUAGCCGUUGUUUUUGGGCCGUGUGAUCUUCUGACAAAGCCCAUCGAGAUCGACGCAUAGGCCGGGAUUUCCGAGGAAGUUACGUGCGUAGAUUUUAUCAGCGUAGAGAGGAGGAAUUGUACCGGAGAGAUGAUUAUACGACAGAUUUAGAACGUUUAGUUUCAGAUUCUGCAAUUCCACCGGAAUUUCACCGGAAAAUUGAUUGUUUGAGAGAUCGAGGUAGUUGAGAACAUGCACGGUUCCGAUUUCUCCAGAGAUUUCACCGGAGAGAUUGUUAUUCGCUAAAUAAAGCUCGUUUAGAUUCUUCCAGCCUCGAAUUCCUCGAGGAAUCUCGCCGGAGAGAUGAUUCGUACUGAGAUCAAGCCUGCUCAAUUGCUUCAGUUUCACCAAACUUUUAGGAAUCUCGCCGGUGAAAUUAUUUUCCGCUCCGGAAAUCUCGAUCAGUCCGUUAAGCAAUCCGAUUUCGCCGGGGAUUGAACCUGAAAACUGAUUGGUCGAGAUUCGGAGGUUCGAUAGAUUCUUAGCACCGGAUAUCGUCUGAGGAAUCCUUCCGGUGAACGAGUUAUCGGAGAGUUCGAGCAGCGACAAGCGAGGCAGUCCCCAGAAUUCGUCCGGGAUGUGACCGGAAAGCUUGUUGUUACUCAAUCGAACACGAGUCAAGCUCCUGCACUUUCCCAUACUAGUCGGGAUUUCACCAAAAAACAAAUUGCCUAUGAGCAUGAGAUACUCAAGUUUCCCUUCCCCGCAUAGAUUCGCCGGUAUCUCGCCGGAAAAUUGAUUAUACGAAAGGUCCACGUACUGUAACGGGGAGUUCGCGCCGAGUUGACUCGGUAACGCUCCGGUGAGUCUGUUGUUGAAGAGCUUGAGUUCUGACAAGGUUUUGGAGCGAGUUAUACUCUGCGGCAGGGGUCCUUCGAGCAUGUUUUCGAAGAGAUUUAGCGACUCAAGGUUUAACCGAGUCAAGCCGUCGGGAAUCCUCCCUGUAAGAUUGUUCAUCGAUGCGUCGAAUCUCCUCAGCAUCGUCAUGUUAUCCAUCGCCUCCGGUAACUCGCCUGAGAACGAGUUGUUGAAUAGCUCAAUCUGCUCGAUGCUCUUCAGCUGAGUGAUCCAACUCGGGACAGACCCAGUGAGUCGAUUCGUUGUCAAAUCCAAGCUAACCAACUGAGUCAACCCGGACAGAGCCUGAGGCACCGGACCCACGAGGCUGCAACCGGCGAGCCAGAGAACACGGAGCUCCGUGAGAUUUCCGAGUUGACUCGGGAUUAGACUCGGAGAAAACAAAUUGUAAGCGAGUUUGAGCUCUCUCAGAGUCGAGACGUUGCCGAGCGAGGCGGGAAUGGUACCGGAGAGGAAAUUUCCGGCGAGGUUCAACGACUCAAGCUUACGGAACUCUCCGAAGCUCGCCGGAAUCGAAUCUGAUAAGUUGUUCCCGGAGAUGUAAAGGUUCCGGAGGUUUGGUAGCUUGAAAGGGAGUGACUCCGGGAUGGAACCAACCAAGAGAUUCUCCGACAAAUCGAGAUGGCCGAGAUUCCGACACGCCGUGAAGUCGUCGCCGGAGAGAGAACCAUUGAUGGAGUUGUUGUAGAGAGAGAGGUAAGACAGAGAAGGAAGAUGACAAAGGAUGGAGGGGAAAGGACCGACGAGCAUGAAGCUGGAGAGAUCGACGGAGAUGACUGAUGACAUGGCGUUGCAGGUGACGCCGCUCCACUGGCACGGCGUGACGUCGUUGUCGGACCAUGAAGAUAGGAACUGGGCUGGGUCGGAUAGGCCCAAUUUGGCUUGCCGGAGAAUGGUGGCAUCGUGAUUGAGAGAGAGAGUUAGAUACGUGGAAGAGAGACAUAGAAGGACAAUAAAACAAUAGAGCAUUUUUCUUUAUAACUGUUUAUUUUUCUAUAUCAUGCUUUGGACUUGUGAUUAAAACGAAAUUAUGAGGUUUUAAAGGGUUUAUAAGAUUCGUAGAAGCAAAAAGGAAAGUGAACACUGUGACAAGACAUGUGUGAGACAUCAUGUUCUUCUUAAUUGGGAAGACUUUACGAAGCCAAAAUAUACAGUUAGAUUUUAGAUACAUCCAUGUGAAAUGGAGUCCAUUGCAAAAUAAUUUACACUGAAAUCAUCCCAAAAAUUGUAAGUUAUAAAAAUUAACAUAUCCCAAAUUUGAAUAGUUAUAUCGUCUUACGCUAAGUUUUAUUGAAAAAAAAUAAUAAGUAGUUUUUCACAUAAAAGGAAAAAAAAAAAUAGUCACUCUCCAAGUCAACUCAAAAUCCUCUGAUGGUCAAAAUGAUGGAGAUACAUGGGCCAUGUGCUGUUGGAAUUAUGUUGAAUUUUCCGAGUUUGCAUUGAAACUUCUCGACUUUUUGUAUGGAUGGAACAAUACAUGAAUGUGUAGAUCGAUACCUUAUGAUUUAAUAUCGAUCUAUAUAAAUUAUCUUAAACCGAAAACCUAAACACCUAUGGUCCCAUUCCCCAACCCUAGGUUGAAUAGAGAGUUUGAUGGACAAUCAUUUACUUGUAAAGUAAUUCUUAAUCCGGUUUAUGAAUCCACGUGUAAGAAAGACAAGGUCAAAUUUGGUUGGUAGGGAAAACAUGAUCUAACAGUAGACUUUGUUAGAUUACUCUCAUUUCACUAGGAAAAGUAACAGUCGUUUUGAAUUGAAAGAACGAGAUUUAAGGGGGAGGAAAAAAAUAGAAAGUGAUAGAUCUUGUCUUUAACCUGUUAUCACGAGUUUGCGAUUCUGUAAUCUCGAUGACGGUACAUACCACUAAGCACUAUGAUGUCACCUUGAUCCAAUAACGUUUUAAGGUUUCGUCCUCUAACUAACGAUAGAAGUUUCCUUUUCUUCCAAGGUUGCAUUCCCUUCACGUCUCCGAAGCCUUUUGCCUUUUUAUUGUUGUAGUUUAGAGUUUUGGUCACAAUAUUAACAUUCUCUUUACCUCUGUUAUAUUGAAGCUUAAUUGUAGAUUAUUGUAACCAAUACAAAAGAUUUGUGAUUGUUUCAUUAUAAACUUCCAUAUUUCUUUAGUAAAUUUUUUUUUAGUAAAAUUUUGUUUACUAAAAAUAUAAUAACCCAUAUUUCAUAUUGUUUACAUGUUUAUCACAGCAUGUAAUAAAUAUAUGGAAUAGAGGUCACUAAAGUUUCUCAUUAUGUUUCGUUUUAUUAACACACAAGUGAAGUGCAUGUCGACUUCACAACCGAUAACUCUCUUAGCCGAAGAAUAAAUUCCUCCAAAGACCAAUUUAAUGCAUAGUUUAUAUGGACCACAAGUAAGACAGAUUGCAAUUAAGCCACGUCUUUGAAGAAUACGAAACUAGAUAAUUUGCUUCUUCUUUCUUUAAAAAAAAAAACUAGAUUAUCGUAGUAUAAACAAAAUUAUAUUACAAAUUUACAAUGUUUUUCAUUUUGAAAUAUCUUCUUUAAUCGAAUGGGCUUCGGCUCUUUUUUAAUUGCAUAUUUGGGUUCCCCCUAAGCUUGUUUUUGUAUUUCGAAAGGUGGGUAGUGAUGUACUGCUGUAUCAAUUAUAUCCAUCUUUGAACCUCUUGCUGUUGAAAUCGUGUGGACUUGAAGCUCAUCUGUGGAGUUGCGCCUCUGCUUCUGAGUGUAAAUAUGAUUUUUACUAGUAUAUAUAUAGAAGCGUCACUGUGUGUGUGUUCCUCAUCGACGUACCUCGAAGCUCUUGAACACUGUACUCGUGGGAUCUCGAGUGGUUUUAAGGCAUGCUUUCAAACUUCUCUAUAUAUCCCGUGUGCUAGUAUCAGUGUUCGGUAACACUUUAUAUAUAGGUUGUGUUACCCUUUAAUUUUUUUUUUUUUUUGGUUGUUUGCACUUCUGAUUGGGUUAAUCUCUUAAAUAAUGUUCUUAAGUUAGCAAAAAGAACCAAAAAACAUAUCUAUUUCUGAACAAGAUUACAGUAUUUUUUUUUUGUAAAUGUGCGGUUCACCAAAUGAGGGUUUUUUUUUAGAAAUAGUCCCACACACUAGCUGAAUUCUCAAAUCAGCAUUUUUUUACUAACUGUUUUUUCUACGUAACUAAUUUUAUAUCUGAGUUGGAAAAGAGUUUCAUUAAUCCCUGAUACAAACUAAAAAUAAAAUCCCCAGAUGUAUCAUUUUAUUUUAACAGAACAAAAGUUCAUAUUCAUUUCAUUUUGUCAGCUACAUGGCAUGAAAAAAUAAGGUUCAGAACAAUUUAUAAAUAAAUGUGUGUAUAUGGCUUUCGUUUCCUUUAAAAUCAAUCUGUAUAUGGGGCAUAAUAUAUUUGUGUAAUGGAUCCGUUAUAUGAGUUUUUAAGUGUAACAACCAUAUGAGAUUUUUCUCAACAAAUUCACCUGUUAAGCUUAUAUCAAUGUAAUAAAAGUAAUUUUGUUGAUAAUAUAUUUACAUAGGAAAUAAUACAGUAUGAAACGGUAACAGCGUUUUAGACUUUUAGUUAAAACCUUUCCGUUACGAAUUUCUUGUUUCAUUACUCUUAAGUAUUAUUUCGGUUUUACGUUUUUUGUUGCUAAUCCUGACUCGCAACAGAAACAUAAAAAUGGAAGAACAGAAUGUCAACUUGGAAACCUGAAACAACAGCUCAACGGAAGAAGACACAAAAAAAGAAAAGAUAUCGAAACCCAUAAAAACUUGUCCAAAGUUCUUUCUAAUCACAAUAACCAUUAGAGAAAAUAAGACAUAUCUAACCAUUCCAAUUAGCAGAGUAAUUCAUUAAAAAGAAUAAAGCCUAGUAAUGGAGGAGACGAAGCAAGCAUUGAUAGCGUCGUUGCCUGAGGCACCAAAAAAACCAAAGUCGAAAGUACAGAGAGUGGCGAGGAAUGCAUUCAAAGGAACAGCUCAUCUGUCAAAUUUGCUCCCGACCGGUUCGGUGAUGGGUUUUCAAAUAAUGUGUCCGGUCCUAACCCAUCAAGGUCAGUGUCCAACCAUUACCAGUCGCUGGCUCACCUGCUUCCUCGUCUUCGUCUGCGCCAUCUCUUGCUUCCUCCUCUCCUUCACCGACUCCUUCAGAGACCCACGCGGCAAGGUAUAUAUAUACAUAUCUCUCUCAUUCGCCAUUUCUUUCUUAAGUUAUGUUGCUACGUUUUGAAAACAUGAUUCUAUUUUAACAAAUAAAACAACAAAUGGUUUUUUGAAUGCGUUUCGUGAUUAAAAUGCAGGUAAGGUACGGAUUGGCGACGCCGAGUGGGUUAUGUGUGAUGGAUGGAACGAUUACUCUGACGGAGGAGGAGAAGGAAAAAUAUAAGCUCAGGUUUCUUGAUUUCGUGCACGCAACCAUGUCAAUGCUCGUCUUCUUCGCAAUCUCCAUGUUCGAUCAGAACGUGAUACGUUGUUUAUUCCCGGUUCCUUCAGAGGAAACUAAGGAGCUCCUUUCCAGUUUGCCCUUUAUCAUCGGCGUUGUUUGCGGCGGCUUCUUUCUCGCGUUCCCCACUCGCCGUCACGGCAUUGGAUCUCCCCUCACAAAGGAAUAAAUUUCAUAUCUCUAGAACAGGGAAGAAUAAAAACAAAGACAUAAACUUUUGUAAACACAAAAAGAUUUUAUCUUCAAUUUUUGUUUCUGGAGGACAUGUACCAAAAUCUUGAAAAAAAAUUACUUUGAAAAUUUAAAACAAACAGGGGAAACUAGACCCCAAUCUUGGAUUACUAGAAGGGAAGCAAUUCCCUGUAAAUCGUAUAUUACCAAUCCGACCUGAAUCGCUCACAUCGCAAUACAGAAGCUUUAAUCAUCACCCAAGAAGCUUCUUAAAACCAGCCUUCUGUUCUGCAGUUAACCUCGCUGGAAACUUGAUGUUGAACUUGAUCCUUAAGUUGCCUUUCUUUGUCUGAUCUUUCUGAAGUGGCAUUCCCUCUUUAGGCACCACCUCUUCAUACUCUGGAUGGAUCACGUUUGUGACAGGGAUUGUAAGUGUCCGACCAUCAAGUGUCGUUAUGUUAGCGGUAUAGCCAGUUAAGGCAUCAGCUAGUGAGAUCUUCUGUGUGACAAUCAGGUCGUUUCCAUCACGUGUGAACACUGGAUGAGGUUUCUCGUCGAUGAUGAAGACAAGAUCCGCUGGAAUCACGCCGGGAUGUUCAUUGCCUUUCUCUGGGAAUGUGAUCUUCGUGCCUUUCUUCCAUCCCGGUUUCACUCCAAUCGUUAGAAUCUCUUCCGUUUGCAUUGCUUUGCUGCAUUUUUAGCAGAAUACAAAAAAAAAAACGAACACAGAGAUUAGAUAUUGCCAAGACUACAACUAGGGCCAGCUCAAAUCAAACAAGUAAAGGUGCACUGAUCAAUGCCUGUCAAAUCCUUUUUGGAAUGACAUGUACAUUAUAACCUAAAAGCUUGAAACUUUAGCCACAGAAACGUUCAUAGUUUGGGAGGAUGUAUAUUUAAGAUCACAUUCCUUAUAUGGGACUGGUAGAUAAAAAAGGCUUAAUGUAUGCGAUCGAAAUGGUAUGUGAGUUUGAUCGCUUACCCGCUGACAUCUACAAUCUCUCUGGAGAUCUUCAUCUUCUUGGUGGUUCCUUUGUAGAGAUCUUCAAGGCUACAAGGCAGCUUGUUCUCGAUUGGAGCCACUUUCCUAGCUCCACCGUGAUGAUGAUGAUGAUGGUGAUGAUGCAUUGAUCCACCACCACCUCCUCCUCCUUCACCAAACGAGGCAUACAUGUCAUCACCAAACAUGCGGCUAGAGAAUCUCUGCCCUCCGCUGCCACCAGCGCCUCCUCCACCAAACGGGGUCGAGAACCCGAAAAACUCAGCGAAUAUAUCAUCUGCACUUCUCGGGUUGAAUCUGAAAGAUGAAGGUCCAUCACCCGUUGAGAAGUAGGAGGCUCCACCAGGUCCACCAGCAGCAUUAGGAGGUGGCACGUUCCCUUUUAGCCCUUCCUCACCGUAUUGAUCAUACACCGCUCUCUUUUGUGGAUCGCUAAGAACCUAAACAACUCACAUCCAAGACCAACAUUAGCCACAUCAAAGCCUGAAUCAAAAUUAAACCAUCUUAGUAUGCUUCUGUGAAUCCUAAAGUUACAAACUUGCACUGAUUGCAAAGUAGAGAGAUUCCUAAGAGGUUCUUAAUACCAAAACUACAGUGAGAUUGAGUCAGAAUAUCGUGAGAAGAAGCAAAAAAUGAAGAACUUUGGGGACCCAAUCGGCGAUUCGAUUCGUCCUCAGAUAAUCUAGUUAGCUCAAAAAUAAAGCAACCAUCUUUUACAUUAUACUAUGAUUCGAAAUACUCGGAACACGAAAUCUGGGAAACCAAGGAGCCAACGCAACAUCAAAUCGUGAAAUCAGCAAUUAGUGAUCGUGAAAGCAGAGUAAUUGCAUCUCAAAUCGGGACGAAGUGUUUCAACUCCGCCGCCGACAGUAUCACGGCGAGGAAAUCUAUAACUAGAAAUGAAAGUAAAAAAAAAACUGGGGGACGAAUUCAAUAAAGCAAUCAUCGAUUUAAAUGAGACCGAGUGGAGAUGAGCAUAAAAAACAUACGUCGUAGGCUUCAGAGAUCUGCUUGAACUUAGCCUCAGCGUCUUUUUUGUUGUUAGGGUUCUUGUCGGGAUGCCAUUUCAUGGCGAGUUUUCUGUAAGCUUUCUUAAGGUCAUCGUCGUUGGCGCUUCUAUCAACCUGUAGAACCUUGUAAUAAUCCACACCCAUCUCACCUUCUUCUUCUUCUUCUCUCUUUCGCUUCUUCACUUUUCCUGAUUGAGAUUGGUAGAAGGAUUAUUAUCAGAGAAGAUUUUGGUACUUUUUCUGGGUUCCUUUCUCCGUCGACGUGUUCUUCUUCCUCUCUUUCUCUUUCACAAUUGAUGUUUCUUACUAGUAGAGAAUCUCGUGGAAGGUUCGAGAAAAACACGAUCUCUAUCUCUCUUCGUUGACGGUGUUAGCCCUCUUGGCUCUUGCCUUCCUUCUUUCCAUUUCUCUUUUAUUAUCGUUGAAGUAAUGGAAUUUUCCGUUAUUUUUUUUUUCUGUGUGACUCGACUUUUCCAUAAUUAGAAAAAAAACAAAGUUAAUAUCGAUGAAUACGUUUGUAAAUUUAACAAUUUAUUUCGAAUUUAAUCCAAAAAAUUGUAUAACUUUUUAAUUAAAGAUGAAUUAUACAUUUUGUCAAAAAAUAAAUCAACAAUGCAUCAUACAGAUUUGAAUAUGGAUGUUGGGACAUCGACUACACUUAACACAAACUAUUAAACUAUAUCUUUUAAUUAAAAAUUGUGUAAAUUUUCUGUUACUUUUGUUCAGAAGUAUGAGACCCGUUAAUACAACAUCGUUUUCUAGGCUAUUUUAUCGUAUGCAGCCUGAUUGAUGAGCAUCGACUGAACACGAGAAUUAAUUUGUUUUUUCUGUCGCUAACCAAGAGAAUAGUUAUUGAAAACUUUCACAAAACAGCUAGACUUCACUCUUCCAAGCAAAUUACAACUUUUAUGGAGAUAAUGUAGUAUGCAUAAAUGUCGUUGUUGUUGUGUUAGCAUCUGAGUUUAAAAUAAUUUGAUUAAAUGUUUAAUGUUAUUGAGAAAUAUAUUUGUGUGGAAUCAAUACUAGAGGCCCUAAACAAGUGUAUUAUAUACAGAGUCUGUGUCGGAAAAAAUUCAAAUAUUUAUACAGAGAAUGGCAGAGAAGUAUGGCCCAGUAAGUAGCCCGACAGAGUUAUGGGCUGAGCCCAUAUUGGAAUUCUUGAUCGAGGGGUAGUCUUCUCCGUAUGAGUGUAUUUACUUGUGUAUUUGUUUUCUAUAAACAUCUUUCUCCUUCUACCGUUCACCUUUUCCCUCAGUUCUAGAAGAAAAGCAUAAUACCUCUCUGACGUGCACUUUCAGACUUAGGGUUUCAGCGAUAUCCCAUUAGCUAGCAGAAGCUGCUCGAUUUGUCCGAGUUUUCGAAUUUCCGGUAUCGUUUGUUGGAUUUGUCAGAUUGAUCGGGUGCUAGUUUGACUGAGAUGGCUCCAGUUCCGGAUCCGAACAACGUUAGUGGUGGUGCGAAGCGGGAUGAAGCUACGGUGAAAGUUCCUUCUAAGGACCCCAAGAAGAAGGAUGAUAAAAAGGAGGAGGAUCUGGUGAGUUUCUCUUUUGUUCGAUUUUGCACGAUUAGCCUGUAGAUUUUGCAGUCAGUUGAAAUCUGAAUCGACUAUAGUAGUUUAAUGAAGCAGCUUUUCAGAAAUUUAGGGAUUUAGCUCAUGAGCUGUUCAUUUGUUUAGCUCAUGAGCUGCUCAUUGUUAAAAUUCACGUUAACAAGUUCUGGGAAAAUAGUUCUCUAGCUGGGAUUUACUUCCAUGGCCUUAGAUAUUCGGAACUUUUAGCACUAUAACUGUGGCUACAGCCAGUCUUUUAGCUAAUUUUUGAUUACUAGAUGACUAAGUUUGCAUCUGAUGUGAUUGUAGUCUGAAGAGGACUUGCAACUAAAGCAGAACCUGGAGCUCUAUGUUGAGAGGGUUCAGGACCCCAAUCCUGAGUUGCAGAAGGCUGCUCUUGAAAGCAUGAGGUAAUUAGCCAUCCUCGAGUUGAUUCGCUGGAAAUACCCAGAUAAUUUUCGCUAGGGAUUGUUUUCUGGAAUUGUGUAACUCUUUUCCUGGUUUAAGUACAGUAUUCAUGUUUUUUAUCAUCCUUUUUCGUAGUCUAUCCUUGAUUUGGUUUAAUCUUUUUGUCUGUAGGCAAGAAAUCCGUGCCUCAACAAGCUCCAUGACAUCAGUUCCCAAACCCCUUAAGUUUCUCCGUCCUCAUUACGGAACUCUUAAGGAAUUUCAUAAAAAUAUGGCAGAGUCCGAUCUCAAGGUACGUCGUCAGACACUUUAAGAAUUUAGCACCUCGUUGCUCAUAGUGAGUAUGGAUUAAAGAUUGCAGUUCCUGUAUUUGCAGAAAAUGUUGGCUGAUAUACUGUCUGUCCUGGCACUGACCAUGUCUGCUGAGGGUGAAAGGGUAUGCUUUCUUGCUACAAUAGUAGGGAUAGUAAAAUUUUCUUACCUAUUGCUAUCAUAUUCAUAUCACUGGAUUCCUUUUUAUUUUCUGUUUGUUUCCUCUUAUGAUAUGCCUUUAACAGAUCUGCAUUUGGUGGUUCUUGGUAGAAUUUGACAAAGUUAUUUGCUGGUCCUUUGUUAUGCAAUACUCUUUCAGGAAAGCUUAGGCUAUAGGUUGACUGGAUCUGAGGGUGACAUUGGAUCGUGGGGUCAUGAGUAUGUCAGGAAUUUGGCCGGAGAGAUUGCAGAAGAGUAUACAAUGCGUCAGGUUAGAAAACAAUUUGGUCUUUUGCAAUAUUUUUCGCUCGAGUUUUAUUCAUAUUCAAGUAACGCCAUGGAUAGUUAUGUUUGGUUUUCUCUGCUGGUCCGUUAUUAUGAUAGUGUGCUUUCUUUUUUAUUUAGAAUUGUUUCUGAUUAUAUGCUUGUUCUUGUUUUGUUAAAUCAGGGUGAGGAGUCCUCUAUUGAGGACUUAAUGGACCUUGUGCAGCAAAUUGUUGCUUUUCACAUGAAGGUGAGAUCCUUGUCAUGCUUAGUUUUCUUGGCUCGUUGACCCCUUGUAAUAAAUUAACAACACUUUCAUUUUUAGGCUUGAGAAUUGCACCUCUUUUGUUUUCUUAUCUCUGAAGGAUUCCAUUUUCUUCCUUACAGCAUAAUGCAGAAACCGAAGCUGUUGACCUCUUAAUGGAUGUUGAGGAUCUUGAUCUCUUACUUGAGCAUGUAGACCGCACAAAUUUCAGGAGGACGUGCAACUAUCUCACGAGUGCAGCAAAGUAAUUAUAAUUAUGAUCAUCUUAUUCAUGUGACUGGUUUUUCACACUCAUUUGUGGUUUUAGAUCACUCAUACUGUAAUUUUCGUAUGAGUCAAGCUCUUAUGAGCUUUGCUUGGUUAUUUCAUACAGAACCACCCCCUUUGACAUUGUAUGUUUUGUUUUUUUUUUCAGAUACCUUCCAGGGCCGGAUGACAUGCUGGUCUUAGAUAUUGCUUACAUGAUCUACAUUAAGUUUGAAGAAUAUCCAAACGCUCUGCAAAUUGCAUUAUUUCUUGAUAACAUGCAGGUCUGGGUUCUAAUUUUUCAUACAGAACUUAAUAUCCUCUCUGCACCAUUGGGGCAGCUGGAAAAAGCUUUUCUAAGUUAUGUAUUUUCUUACAUGAUAUAUAUUUUCCGUAUUUGCAGUAUGUGAAGCAAGUAUUUACCUCAUGCACUGAUCUGCUAAGAAAGAAACAGUUCUGCUACAUGAUUUCGCGCCAUGUAAGUGCUCACUGAUUAACAUCACUAUAGAGAUUCAGUCGCUGAUGAUUCACUAUUUUUAUUUAUCUUUUUCUUUUGCUAACCCCCAUGCAGGGCAUCACCUUUGAGCUUGACCCUGAGAUGGUUGCAGAUGACGUUGACAGAGAAAUGCUACAAGAUAUUGUUAACAACACUAAGUUAAGUGAAGGAUAUCUGACGCUUGCAAGGGAUAUUGAGGUCAUGGAGGCCAAGACGCCUGAAGACAUCUACAAGGUAUAUCAUUUUCAUCGAAAUGAUGCCCGUUACUGGUUUGUUUUGCAAUAGGGUAUGUUUUUGUCACUGUCUCUUAUCUAUUGAAUGAAAUUUCGCAGGCUCACCUGCUUGAUGGCAGGGCUAGCUCCGCUCCAAGUACGGAUUCUGCUAGACAUAAUCUGGCUGCGACUUUUGUGAAUGCAUUUGUGAAUGCUGGUUUUGGCCAGGUGUGAUUACUGAUUCUUAUGGUGUGCAAAAUGAGAUGAAGUUUGUAAGCUUGGCUGCCCUUUUGAUACAUUCACAUAUUGCAGGACAAAUUAAUGACAGUACCAUCAGACUCAACCAGUGGAUCUGCUGGAAAUUGGCUCUUCAAAAAUAAAGAACAUGGAAAGACCAGUGCAGCCGCCAGUCUGGUAUGCAUCUUCUUACGUGAUAGGUUGACUAGCUGUGUUCAUAUCUUGGAAGUGAAAAUUGUAAUAGGACCUUGUUGUUUCCCAAUGGUAGGGUAUGAUCCUAUUGUGGGAUGUGGACUCCGGACUUGCUCAACUUGACAAAUAUUUCCAUAGUAAUGAUAAUCCAAUCAUUGCUGGAGCUCUGCUGGGAGUUGGGAUUGUUAAUUGCGGCAUUAAAAAUGAUUGUGAUCCUGUGAGUUGAUUUCUCUUGCGAUUUUAUUGGAAGCUCUAUGUUCAUUAUUUUUCGCAUACACUCCCCUCACUCAGCUUUCUUUCUCAGGCAUUGGCCCUUCUUGGAGAAUAUAUUGAGAAAGAGGAUCCAUCUGUCCGAAUUGGUGCUAUUAUGGGUCUUGGAAUUGCAUAUGCGGGUUCCCAAAAUGAUCAGGUGAAGUUAUAUUAUCUACGUACCUAUAGUGAUAUGUUUAAUGCUAUGUUGAAGAGACAAUAACAUGCUCACUGUUUGGACAGAUAAGAAGCAGUUUGUCUCCAAUACUGAAUGAUGCAAAAGCACCUCUCGAUGUGAUUGCCUUUGCUGCACUUAGUUUGGGGAUGAUUUACGUUGGUUCGUGUAACGAAGAGGUUGCACAAUCUAUUAUAUUUGCUUUGAUGGAUCGGAGUGAGGCAGAACUGGGUGAAGCCAUCACUCGUUUCUUGCCUCUUGGACUUGGACUUUUGUACCUUGGCAAACAGGUAGACAACGUGUCGUACUUGAUAAAUUUCUUGUUUGCUUACUCGAUCGUUUUUUCCUGGCUUAUCAGUGUCAACUUGUUCCCAUAUCGAGCAGGAAAGUGUGGAGGCUACCGCAGAAGUCUCAAAGACGUUCAAUGAGAAGAUCAGAAAGUAUUGUGAUAUGACACUUCUUUCCUGUGCGUAUGCUGGAACUGGGAAUGUCCUUAAGGUAUCUGAUCAAGUAUACUGGUGGUUAUAUUACAUAGUUCAUUGCUUUCUAGUUUAGUUGCUGAAUCUUCAAUUGUCCAGGUCCAAGACCUUCUGGCUCAGUGUGGAGAGCAUCUGGAGAAAGGUGAUAUUCACCAGGGUCCAGCUGUGCUUGGAUUAGCGAUGGUUGCUAUGUCUGAAGAAUUGGGUCUUGAUAUGGAGAUCCGUUCUCUGGAGCGUGUGCUACAGUAUGGAGAACAGAACAUUAGGCGUGCAGUGCCUUUGGCCCUUGGUCUCCUAUGUAUAUCCAACCCAAAGGUGACUGCUACUUUUGCUGCUUAAGAAUACUGCUGCUUAAAAAAUCUAAUUUUACUUUUAUGCUUACGAAUACUGCUGUUACUCUCUAAUCUUUUCCAUAAAUCCAGGUCAAUGUUAUGGACACCUUGAGCCGGCUUAGCCAUGACACAGAUUCAGAAGUUGCCAUGGUGAGUUGUCUUUUCGCCACUCACGGUUGAGAUGGUAGUUAAUUCAUUGACUUAAAUUUCAGCGUUGGACUGAUGUUUCGUUGCACUGACUCCUAUAGGCAGCAAUUAUUUCUCUUGGUUUGAUCGGCGCUGGAACUAACAAUGCAAGGAUUGCUGGCAUGCUUAGAAAUCUCUCCAGCUAUUAUUACAAGGAUCCCAGCCUUCUCUUCUGUGUAAUGUGUUAAAGUUUAUGUUUUUGCUUUCGUGCAAUAAACACAGUUUCUAUUGAUAGGCCUGUUCUCAUUGUGUCAAGUCAUAUCUCAGGUGCGUAUUGCUCAAGGGCUGGUGCAUAUGGGAAAGGGUCUCCUAAGUCUCAGUCCCUUCCACUCCGAACGGCUCUUGCUAUCACCGUAAGUUGUUAUUUUUAUAUAUACUAUUAUGAAUAAUUAGCUUUUUAAAGCCUCACCCUCAAAAUCCUAAACAUGAGUGUUGUAUAUUGUACUCAGAACGGCCCUUGCUGGUAUAGUGACAUUGUUACAUGCAUGCCUUGACAUGAAAUCCAUCAUACUGGGGAAAUACCAUUAUGUGCUCUACUUCCUCGUAUUGGCGAUGCAGGUGAGUGCAAAUAUUCUAUCUGAGGAAUUUUCUUUUUUGUUUGGUUAAAUGGAUUAAGAAAUGUUUAUAUAGUAACACGAUACGGUUUGAAUGUGUAGCCAAGGAUGAUGCUGACGGUGGAUGAGAACCUGAAGCCCAUCUCGGUGCCAGUGCGGGUAGGACAAGCGGUUGAUGUGGUUGGACAGGCAGGUCGACCCAAGACAAUCACUGGUUUCCAAACCCACUCAACACCUGUUCUCCUUGCUGCUGGGGAGAGAGCGGAACUCGCAACUGACAAGUAUUUUGUUCCUCUAAACCAUUUUUCCUACUUGAAACGAAACUCUGUUUGGAACUCGCAACUGACAAGUAUGUUAUCUCAUUUUUGGUCACAGGUACAUUCCAUUGUCGCCCAUAUUAGAAGGUUUCAUCAUAUUGAAAGAAAAUCCAGACUACAGAGAGGAGUGAAUGCAAAGUUGUGGAACUGUUAGACAUUUGGAUACUCUCAGGAAGAGCUAUAUGGUUUUAUGUGCACAAUAAGUCCUUUUUCCUUAGUUUACUCGCUUAUGUUCCCAUGAAUGGAUUUAGUUAAACAAUAUCCCUUUUUUCAAUCGCUAAUUGUGCACUUUAUCAUUCUAAAGUUGGAUAAGUUUCAAUGUUCCAAUUUUUAAAACUUGCUCAUCUAAUUCAACUCGCUCUACUUCUUUUACUUCUUUUCUCCUAGUAAGAGGAAAAAGAUAAGGUGGGCUCAUGUGUUCAUGCCCCCGGAAACUUCAACAAAUUCAUGCUUUGUUCGCACACUAACUUAAUCUUCCGGAUUUGGCAAAAAGUAUGGAUAAUAUAAAAUGUUAAGAAGGUGAUCCGGCAGGCUACAUAUACAUAUAUGGCGUGCACGAUUCACUCGUUUACAACUUCUCUUUAUUUUAUUAUUUUGCACAUCUUGGUUCCCAGCUACCACAAAAUAAUUCCCUCGUAAAAUAAAAGUAUAAAAUCUUAUUGAAAUUAACCACCAACAAAAGUAAAUUUAUAUAUGUACAUGUAUAUUGAGUGUUUAGUUUCUACCACUAAGUGUAUGAAUUUAACAAACAAAGUAAAAAAUGAAUGGAAUACAGUUAUUGACCGUUUGUUUUGGUAUAAUUACCAUAUGGAUAUGGUAUAUAUCAAUCUCCUCCACCUAGAAAAAAUAAAGUGUAAUCUAAUGGCCGCGACCUCUUGGACUCGGUCCCGACGCCAGACUCUGAAACCAGGAAUCCACCGUCGACUUCAUCUUCUCCACCUCCAUCACCGUCGCUCUUCCCUCUCCUAAAUUCUCCGUUAGAACUCUCCCCGCCGCGGCUGGAACCACCACGUGUUCUACCACCAACAACGCUACCAUCAUCACCACAAACAAAAUAGUAGACCAACUAACUCUCCUCAUUUGAUUUUACCCUUUGUGUGGAACCGUAAAAAGAAAAAUAAGAGCUUCGAAGUAAUCAGGUAAUAAAUUAGUAUUUCCGGGGAGUUUUAUAUUGCUUGGUUAAGAAAGAAAAUUUAGGAGUUAUGGUUAUUGUUGGAUAGAUAAAUGAGAGGGAGUAUGUGUAUAUAUAUACACUUAGUUACGAGGAAGCGGUCAUGACUCAAGAGUUCAUCACUUAGGUCGGAUUUUACCGGCGCCAUCUCACGAUUUGCGUGUUGACCAAGAAUUGUGACUUGAACGGGUCGCUCUACAACACUUUACGAUGUGUGAAAUUACAUCAAUGCCCAUUUUGGUGUCACUGAUGAUUUUUUUUUUUAGUUUAAAAUAAUAAACCAGUUUUUUGUAAAGGAAACUUCAUUUUUCAAAUUAUUUAUCAAAAACGAAUUACAAUCCAAUAUAAAAUAUGAUUUUGAUUUAACAUUUAUUAUAUAUCACAAAUUAACACAGGCUUAGCUUUGUUGUGAAAAGUUAUGUUUGAGGUUUGAAACUUAACGCGUAAGUCAAGAUUUGACUAAUGAAAGUACCGCAAGAGGACCUAUUCACAGUUUCACCUAAAUAACUCUCUUAUCAUUUAUCAGUUUAGUUUGGGGCAAAAACAUUGAAAAAUAAACACAUCAUGGGAUGUAAUAAGGUUGAAAUGCGAGGUAAAAUUACGUAUGAAUUGUGUUAUUAGGUACAAGUUAAUAUUAUAAGUAAACAAAGAAGUGUUUUGGUAGGUGAGUUUUCCUGUUUUAAAACUCAAGUGAUUUGCAUGUGAGUUUUAUUGUUCAAUAGAAAAUGCUAGUCACAUAAGCAUAUAUCUAUUCAAAGAGUGUUGUUUUUAAUUAUUAUAUUCAACCUUUUUUUUAAUGUAUUGUACAUCUAAGACUCUUUCAUUUCAAGAAAACUUGAAAUUCAAAACAUGAGAAUUUGACUUGUCCCAAUGCAAGGGAUAUGCUUGUGCUACUACUACCAAACUAGUAAAAGUCCGACGCUAACAUUUUUUUUCAAAGCUCAUGCCUAUUUUUAUUGUGUAUUUACACUAUUACCAUAAACAAUUUGGACAUUUUUUUGCCGGAAAAUCAGAACAUAUAUUGAGUUUAAUAUAUAUUAGUUCUUGAAUAUAUUGACUAUUUGAAAACAUAUAAAAAAUCACAAAAUGAGUUAAUUUGUACUAUUAAAAAAAAAGUAAUUUCAAAUAUAUGUUAUCCAAAAAAAUUAUAUACGGCCCAUUUAAAUACUUUUUUGUGAAUAUCGUAGCGGGAGAAAACCUAUUUUAUCGGCCCAUCUCAGGAGGCACAAGCUUCGUCUCCUUCAGCUCCUCCCUAAACCUCUCUAGGGUUUUUCUGUCUGCAACCACAUCUCUUUCACUCUACCUCUCUCUCUCUCUCUCCCCCCGUUAGCUUCUCCGUGACCUUUUUGUAGACGUAAUCAAUGAAGGUUAAGGUUAUAUCGAGAUCAGUUGAUGAAUUCACUCGAGAAAGAAGUCAGGAUCUUCAGGUAAUUUGCAUAUUCAAAUCGUUCACAUAUCAUAAAAUCAGGGUUCAGUUUCGAUUCCCGCCUCAAUUUCUCUCCACGACGUGGUUAUCAAUGCGUUGCAACUUGGUGUGAUUUUUUCAGCGGGUCUUUCACAACUUCGACCCAAGUCUCCGACCUAUGGAGAAGGCAGUGGAAUACAAGAGGGCUCUUAAUGCUGCCAAAUUAGAUAAGGUGUUGUAAUCAGUUCCCUUCAAAUCUCUCUAUCUUCUGUUGAAUUUUGAUUUUUCAGUGUGCUGUUUAGUUCUGUUAUUGAUGAAAAGCAAUGGAAAAAUUCCUCAAAUUUUCCCUGUGUUUGUUUAGAUACAUGCAAAGCCGUUUAUGCAUGCCAUGGAUGGGCAUCGCGAUGGCAUCUCAUGUAUGGCGAAGAACCCGAAUUACCUGAAGGAUAUCUUCUCGGGUUCUAUGGAUGGAGGUGAAUAUCCAAACUCUUGUUUUCUCCAAGUCUUAACUCUAAUUGAAACUUUUAAGGGAUGAUAGUAACUUAUACUAUGUUACUAUUCUGCAGAUAUUCGCCUUUGGGAUCUUGCUACGAGGUUAAAAUCUUGAAAACUCUACUCUUCUGAACAAAUCUGUAGCUCAUUUAGUCUUUCCUGUAUAAAGAAUUCUAUGUUCUGUGCUUUUGGUAAAUGUGUUCUGGAACUUGGAACAAACAGGCGCACAGUUUGCGAAUUUCCUGGUCAUCAAGGUGCCGUGCGUGGUCUUACAGUCUCAACCGAUGGCAAUGUAUUGGUUUCAUGCGGAACUGAUUGCACGUAAGAUAUAAACAACUUAUUCUUAGACUCAUUCAGUCCCUGACCCGCAUUUAACGCUUUCAGUCUAAGAUGAAUGGGUUUAUGCAGUGUUCGUUUGUGGAAUGUUCCUCGUCCUUCGCUUCAAGAUUUUAACAUUUCAUCUGAAAAUUCUAUUGAGGUGAUUAUUUGUCAAUUUUCUUGUAAGACUGGAUCAUCAAGAGUACUUUUCGAAAGUUUCCUUUGAAUAACAAGCUUAUUACUCCAAUUAUCCUUUCAGCCAUCUGCGGUCUAUGUCUGGAAGAAUGCUUUCUGGUAGACUUUCUUACCAUCUUGUUUCAAUUUCUCAUGAAUCUUUCGGUCCACAAAACUGGAGGUAUUAAGCUUUCUUUCAUAUCUAGGGGUGUUGAUCAUCAGUAUGGAGGGGAACUUUUUGCUACGGCCGGAGCUCAAUUGGAUAUAUGGAAUCAUAAUAGGUACUCAGGACUCUUACUAAACAAGAAAUCUCUGAUGUUUUUCUAUCUUUAUUUUAAACAGUGCUUAUAGUUCUAUCUUUUUGUAAUUAGGUCUCAGCCAGUUCAAAGUCUCCAGUGGGGAACUGACUCUGUAAUAUCUGUCCGGUUUAAUCCUGGAGAGCCUGAUUUAUUGGCAACAUCUGCUAGGUAUAUACUUUCUACUUUAUACUUGUAUAUAUUAUGUAACUAUUUGAGCUAGACUUUCCAAAGCUUUAUCUAACAGUGUAAGAGGGUUUCUCUUCUUCCAGUGAUCGCAGCAUAACCAUUUAUGAUCUCCGCAUGUCUUCUGCAGCAAAGAAAAUUAUCAUGAUGGUAUAGUUGAAAAUCGAUCGCUCAUUCUCUUCAUUUGUGAAUAUUUUUUAUUCUUAAGUGCAACCUUGGUCUGCAAAUUACUUAUCUUUUGGCAGACGAAAACAAAUUCAAUCGCAUGGAACCCUAUGGAGCCUAUGAACCUGACAGCUGUAAGUGAUAAUCAUGAAGUGAAAUUUUCUCUGAUGGGUUUUUCUACCUGGGGGAAAUCAGCAUUUGGCCUUCGCUUAUGUGUUAAUUUUAUCCUAUGGUGAAAAUGAGUAGGCUAAUGAAGAUGGCAGCUGCUAUAGCUUUGAUGGUAGAAAGCUGGACGAAGCCAAGUGUGUGCAUAAAGAUCAUGUUUCUGCGGUGUAAGAAUGAUAAAUACCAAUUAUCUGCGAGAAAGUUCUACGGGAUAGUAUCCUUUUAAUGCAUUAUGAUUUAUCUAAUUUCAUCAUUUUUUAGGAUGGAUAUUGAUUAUUCACCAACUGGUCGUGAAUUUAUUACGGGAUCUUAUGAUCGAUCAGUGAGAAUCUUCCCCUACAAUGGAGGACACAGCAGGGAAAUCUACCAUACAAAGAGGAUGCAGAGGUAUAAUUCUAGAAGCCAACUCUGUUUAUACUUUACAUUCAGAUGUUCUUAAUUAGUUUUAUUCUCGGCAAUUUCUUUAUUUUAAUGCGUUUGUUUUUUUCUUGUAGAGUAUUCUGUGUCAAGUAUAGUUGUGAUGCGACCUAUGUUAUAUCAGGCAGUGAUGACACUAAUGUCAGGCUAUGGAAGUCCAAAGCAUCAGAGCAAUUGGGAGUUGUAAGAAUCUGUGCAUCUUCUUGUUACACAGCAUUAGGUUUCUUUAUACAAAAUGAAAACGAAAAAUUUGGAAAAGGAAAAUACACACAGGCUAAGCCAUGGAUUCAAAAGUGCAUUUGAUUGUGAGAUAUUAUUUGUACAACUUAGGUAAAUCCUCAUAUGUUAAUUGGUGUAUUGUGUUGCAGCUUCUUCCAAGGGAACAGAGGAAGCAUGAGUACGACGAGUCUGUGAAGAAUCGAUACAAGCAUCUUCCUGAGGUCAAGCGCAUUGUCAGGUACACGGCCAAGAGUGUUUUCUUUAUUCCUUAUUUUUCCAACUUUGGAGAUUGUCAAAAUAUUAAUAACAUGAACGUUUUGGGGUGAUGUGAAAUACAGACACAAGCACGUGCCGAAACCUAUAUUCAAAGCAAUAGGGAUAAUCCGAGCCAAGAACGAUUCGAAGAGGAGGAAAGAUGCCCGAAGGAAAGCUCACAGUGCUCCAGGAACCGUUAUCACUGUACCUCUGCGCAAAAGAAGGAUCAUCAAAGAAGUGGAGUGAGCUUACCUGUUCUCGAUUUACGUUUAAUAUUACGUUGUUAAGAUUUGUUAGAAGCCAAGAAUGUGUUUGAAGCCAGAAAAUGAACAAAAAACAGAAAACACAUCUAUAAGAUUACAUUUUUCCUAAAUUUAUUGUAUUUGUUUCUGUAACAUGUCAUACAUGUAUACAAAUAUUUGCUGAAGUAUCAUGAAAAAAGAAACAGACAUGUAACAAAACAUACAAGAUACCAAAAAAGAGAACAAAAAUUUUAUUUAACUGUGCUUGAUUGUGAACAAGGUGUCGAUGGUCUUAUGACUUGCAUCCAAUCCAAGCAAAUAUAAAGGAACGAUACCACGGACUAAAUAAUUCUAAAAAGCGAGAUCCUUAGUUCGUGUUUUAGGAUAAAAAGAAAGCAUUCUUACAAGCAUCUCUGGACCAGUCAUACAAAUCUUCAUAAUCUAAAAAUCAAAAGACCUCCACGGUAGAAGAAUCAGAACCAAACACUCUCAAGGGUUAACUUCCAUACACAUACUAAUAAGAUCACUGAUCAACGUUAAUCAGUUCGUAUUCAACAAGAGACAGAUUGUUAUCCUCUUUGACUGUGAAAGACGCAGGUUCAGUGGCUUCGAUACGUCCCCAUUUAUCAACCCCUAGCCUCAUUGUGCCCUUGAACAUGUCUAUCCUUGAAUUGCGCAGUAUCACCGUCUCCCCUGGCUUCAUGAUAUCAACUAUACACACAAAAUCAAUGAAUCAAUCCAAUCAGUAGGCCACAGGGAUCGCACAAUAACUGGUACAAGACUAGAUGUUUUAAUAGGAAAAGCUCUGAAAGUUUUGAAAUCAUGAAGAACAUUUAACUCAUCAUAGCUCAACAUCUCACCAAGCAAGAAGUUUCACCAUCACUAAUCGGGUAAGAUGAAGUAUACAUUAAACAUCUCCGGUCGAAUUAGCGUAAUGAUAUUAUACAACCAUUAAAGUCACUAAAUUGCACAAAAACAUCAUUGAAUGAGCAGAUUUUUCACAGUAAUUCCAUUUCCAUUUUCAGACAAGAAAGCUUUUUUGUAACAUUUCCAGAGCUUGGCAUAAACAAAAUAUGACAAUAGAAAGUGACGGCAAUAAACGAGAGAACAACAAAGGAUCAGACUUUUCAAAAUGACGAUACCAUUUCUCAAUCCUAAAAGCAAAAGAAAAGUGUGAGAAACCUUGAUCGUUACGAGCAGUGAAGAGAAUACAUCCGGUUUCGUCUCCGAUGAGACACUCGACGAUUCGACUGGGCUGAGAAGGACGACUCAGAGAAGUCCCCGUACGAGCCUUCCGGGUAACAGGAACCACCGGAUUCGCAUCAACGACCUUAACAGUCAAUGUGUGACCUCCCGUUCCAGGCUUUAGCUGUUCCACCUUCACAAACACCGGUUUUCUCUUCGCCGUCGUCGACGUUCCCGUCGCAACCGCUGCAGUCCCUGUCGUCGCCAUCGCUCUUACGGUCACGAAAUUACAGACCCAGAUUUCGGGUUCGCCCUAAAUGGUUGAAUCGAUAAAGUAGUGGGGAACUGAGAAGGCGAUUUAGGGUUUAUAAAGAAAGACGAUGAUGCUCUCUCCCAAGACGGACGAAGAGUAUUUAUCACCUGUUUUACGUUACCAUGAACUUGCUACGUGUCACAUUUUUAUUUGAACUUAAUUAUCACAUUUUCGUUACAUCACAAUCUCAUGAGUGAAGCUAAUUAUUUAUACUUGGAAAAAAACCUUAAAAAUACCUCACGUUUAUAACUUUUGCCAGAAAAAUAUCCAAACUAAUUCGAUUCCCUUUUAAAUACCUGACAUUUAUAUGACUACAUCUUUAACACUCGAAGUUUCAAAAACGGUAAGUUUAACUACCGAUUUUUAAUCAUGCUUAAAUGUUAAACGGAGAUAAUGAUACGGCGUUAAGAAGAUUAAUCACGUGAGUUUAAUUUAUACAUGAAAAGACCAAAAACCUUCCCUCACAAAAAACCUAAAUUGAUAUUCCCCAAAUCGAAUUUUCCCAAAUCGAAAACCCUAAAUCGAUUUUCCCCAAAUCGAUUUUUUCUAAUUCAACGACAGCAAAUCGCAUAUCGAAAUACCAGUUCUCUAAACCCUCUCGAAUCGGUAUUGCUCAUCUGAAGAGAUCUUCGUCUUCACGGCGACCUUCGGCGAGACUCGAAGGAUGUGGUAAGGAUCUAAAUUCAGGGCAUUUGAUAUUAGUGUUGUGUUUCGAUUAGUUCUGAGUUGUUUUGAGUGACAUCUGCUUGUUUUUCGAUGAUGCAGUGACACCAUAAAAAUCAAUUUGCAUUAUGGAGGGCUUAUGUACAUCAAGGAUUCUAAGCGAGUGUACGUAGGAGGUUCGGUGAAGGAGG